rnacentral:rRNA from 1 species
UACAUGUGGGGCAAGCGUUGUUCGGAAUUACUGGGCAUAAAGGGUGCGUAGGUGGCUUGCUAAGUCGAACGUGAAAUCCCCGGGCUCAACCCGGGAACUGCGUCCGAUACUGGAAGGCUUGAAUCCGGGAGAGGGAUGCGGAAUUCCAGGUGUAGCGGUGAAAUGCGUAGAUAUCUGGAGGAACACCGGUGGCGAAGGCGGCAUCCUGGACCGGCAUUGACGCUGAGGCGCGAAAGCCAGGGGAGCAAACGGG